UACGUAGGGUCCGAGCGUUGUCCGGAGUUACUGGGCGUAAAGCGCGCGCAGGCGGCGGGGCUGGCCCGGCGUGAAAGCCCCCGGCUCAACCGGGGAGGGUCGUCGGGGACCGCACCGCUUGAGGGCGGUAGGGGCUGGUGGAAUGCCUGGUGUAGUGGUGAAAUGCGUAGAGAUCAGGCGGAACACCCGUGGCGAAGGCGGCCAGCUGGGCCGUCCCUGACGCUGAGGCGCGAAGGCGUGGGGAGCGAACAGG
rnacentral:rRNA from 1 species